CUCGGCUCUUGCAUCGAUGAAGAACGUAGCGAAAUGCGAUACUUGGUGUGAAUUGCAGAAUCCCGUGAACCAUCGAGUCUUUGAACGCAAGUUGCGCCCGAAGCCGUCAGGCCGAGGGCACGUCUGCCUGGGCGUCACGCAUCGCGUCGCCCCCCUAAUCGGCCC
rnacentral:rRNA from 1 species